GAUGAAGAACGUAGCGAAAUGCGAUAAGUAAUGUGAAUUGCAGAAUUCAGUGAAUCAUCGAAUCUUUGAACGCACAUAGCGCCCCCUGGAAUUCCGGGGGGCAUGCCUGUUCGAGCGUCUCAGGGACGAACCCUCGCGCGGGUGUACGCGCGGUCGUGGCUGCGGUGGCGUGCCCGAGGCGGCGGCCACCGCGCUGGAAUCCAUGGGCGGACGCCUGCCGCGUGGCCGAGCGUGAUAUGACGCAUUGGCGCUCGCACGCGGCGAGGCUGCCAGCCCUGGCCCGUCUGUCGGGCGGGGGAGAGCAAGACACGUGAACUCCUCGAAUCAGGUAGGGAUACCCGCUGAACUUAAGCAUAUCAAUAAGCGGAGGA
rnacentral:misc_RNA from 1 species